CUUGGCUUCUGUAUGCUGCAGCAGACAGUAUAUUUAUUAUUUACCCCAUAAAACAUCUAAUCUAGCCAAGCUUUAUCUGUGAGCCUCCUGCCAAGUCAAUUCCUGAAAUAGGAGUCAAAAUUUCCUGCUGGAGGAAAGCCUGACAUUAACCACUGCACCCACACUAACUGGGUUGGCUUUGAUUUUUCUAACCUAGCCAACAUUGGGGGCUUGGAAGAUGAGGAGAAGAGGCAACGAAGUCAAGGAGUGGUCAGGAACAAGGGUAAGCGAAAGGGAUUGUUUGGAAAGAAGGAUUCAAGGAAGGAAGACCAUAAAUUCUUCCUUGCACUGCAUAUUAAUUUAAGCGAGAGAAGAAUUUGAGAGGUUGUUCCCUGCUUUGGAGAAAGGCAGGCGUACCAACAAAGCUAGAUAUGUGUUCUCAGUGAGAUUCAGAUAAUGACCCAUCGGCACAUUUGAUUUAAGGCUGCUCUCCCUGGUUUGUGGUGUUUCCCAUUUCAUGUAAUGCUGCGGGAGAGGAGAUGGUUAAUUCGAUGGAAACAGCAGGAGAAAGAGACAGAUAAUCUUACCUUCGUGCUCUCUGCCAUUCUUUCCAUCCAACCUGCCUCGCAUCUGCUUCUAUUUUCAUUGUGGAAGAAAAUGGAAGGAGAGACAUUUUGAUCUGGAAAACAAUACCAGAAAAGAAAAGAAAAAGGAGCAGAACAGUUUGUCUCCUGCAGCUCUUCAAAAGUUGGCAAAUAGAAGGGAGAAAAUUUCUCUAUCAUCCAACGCAACAUAAAUAUAGUGUGAUUCCCGCAGAGUGUUGAAAAGUGACGAUUACAAACAUCGGCCACAGGAAAUGGCUGCAGAGAGACACAAAUUGUUUUUCUUCAGUCUUAAAGCAGAACUUUUCUAAAAAACAACUCUUGUUAUUUCAUAUUAAAAAUAUGAAGCCAUGGCUAAGUCAAAGAAACACCUGAGCAACUAGAGGAAACAGAGUGAAAAGCUUGUGGUGAUUUCCAAAUACACAGUACGUUGUCACCUCAUUUAUGACUAGUAAUAAACAUAACUGUAAUUAUUAAUUUUUCAGCAGUUUCCUUUUUCAUUUACAGAAUAUCACUACGUGAGCCUCCCAUCUUGAUUCACAGUUUAUGUCUUCACCAGGUAUAUAUUUAUUACCUGCUGACUUUUCACUAUCCGAGAAAUGAGAAUGCAUCCAUUUGAAACGCUGCAUUUGGCAUAUGCACAGACAAAAGAGAAUGGAUGCCUUUGAAUUUUGGAUGUGGAGAUAGUUAUGGACUGCACGAAGAACAAGUCAAUCAGUUAUGUACCAUAUGAAGGCUGACAGCUCAUCUGAAGGGAUUAUCAACAAACAGAAGGUCAUAUACUUGGAUGUAUGGACUUGAAAAACUGUUCUGCUUGAUAAGACUGAAGAACGUAGAAUGAGAGGACAAUACAUACGAUGGAGAGGCUGGAUGAAAAAGGUUACUGAGGUCUCCUCAGAAGAGCUAUGAGGUGGUGUUCAAUUGUCCAGGCAUUCAGCAGUAUUCAACACGCGGAAACAUUUUGGAACAUGAGUAUCUGGAUAUCAGGUAUCAGGUAAUCCAGAUAUCAGGUCAGGAUUUUGGACUGGAUACUAAGAGAGACUGCCAUGGGAGACUGAGGCAAGGAAAAGUUUGUUUUUUUUUAAAGUCAGCCAAAUAAAAUAUUUUCUGCUAUUGCCAAGGAAA